rnacentral:rRNA from 1 species
AUUGAACGCUGGCGGCAUGCUUUACACAUGCAAGUCGAACGGUAACAGGCCUUCGGGUGCUGCCGAGUGGCGAACGGGUGAGUAAUGCAUCGGAACGUACCCAGAGGUGGGGUAUAGCGGGGGAAAACCUGGGUAAAAUCCCCCUGUGACCGGAGAAGAAAAGCGGGGGACCGCACGGCAUUUUUGGCCCUCGCGCGUUUGAAUGGGCCGAUGUCGGAUUAGCUAGUUGGUGGGGUAAAGGCCUACCAAGGCGACGAUCCGUAGCUGGUCUGAGAGGACGACCAGCCACACUGGGACUGAGACACGGCCCAGACUCCUACGGGAGGCAGCAGUGGGGAAUUUUGGACAAUGGGCGCAAGCCUGAUCCAGCAAUGCCGCGUGCGGGAAGAAGGCCUUCGGGUUGUAAACCGCUUUUGGCAGGAACGAAACGGUGUCCGCUAAUACCGGGCGCUAAUGACGGUACCUGCAGAAUAAGCACCGGCUAACUACGUG